CAGACGGACAACCUGCGCCAGGGGAUGUCCCUGCCUGUUACUUCUGUCCGCCUUAGCACCAUCUGGACCGAGGGGUCUCCUGCCCAGGCCUCACUUCCAGCCGGGUUGUCCACAAGCGCAGAAAGAGCAGACAUUGUUCACGCAGCGGAGGGGGCCCGGGGACCUGGAGACAGAGCCGUGGCCGACAAGCCGCCGGGUCCCUCAGAGGGCCGCCCCGAGGGAAGUCUCAGGGACCAGGACCCAGGAGCCGUCUGACCCAGACCCGGCGCCCUCUCGGGGAGCUGGCCACUCUGCUGGUUUCAACCGUGAAGUUUAGAAAUAAAAGUGCGCUAGAUGGCCUUGCUUGGACUUUGAAGGAGCCACAGCAAACUUAAGUGGCCGCAAGGUACCUGAGCAUCGCCUGUGUGUGUCCCACACACCCUCCUGUCCCCGUGUGCCUCUGAGAUGGCUCCCAGAGGGCAGAACCAUCCAUCAAAGCCGGGCAGGCCUCCAGCUCAGAAGAACCUUAGGCAAUUACAGCCCAAUAAUAGUAUGGAGGGACCAGGAGACUCUCUGAAAAGGAGCAAUCAGACUGAAGAGCCAGGGCGGAAGAAGAAGGUGCGAGUCCAGCAUCCCUGACCAUGCGGAGCCCAUCACGGCGUUUGUAAAUGGCAGUGAUGAAUGAGCAUGCUGUGCAUAUAUGUCACCACGCCCGGCCUUCUCCCCUCCUUCCCCUCACGUUCUCUCUCCAGGAUAAAAGAUGCUUGGCGCUAAAGAACCCUUGUCUCUUCUAUUCAGAACUGGGGGAAACUGACAAACUCCAUUCUAGUUCAUGAGACCCUGCGGUGAAUUAUGGGAAAUGGAGGGAACUCAUGACUGGAGCACACUUAAUGAACCCAGGAACUCCAGUGAUGGAUGGAUAGAUGGAAAUGAACACUAA